AGUGACAGGUGGUGGUUAUCGUAGGUGAUUGAUUAUGGAAACGUUUCAACUUCAACCCAUAACAGAUCUAUUUUCUACGCACGUUUAAGUUGGAUUCACAACGGAUAUGGGGUAGGAAGGUAUUUGGAACGUUCUUCAAUGAGUAGAUCUCUUGUGAGGAUUAAAGGCUACCGAUCGAGGAGUGUGUGAAAAGCUUGGAUCAUCGGAGUGACUAAAUCUAGUCAUCAACUUCGACAAAG